rnacentral:rRNA from 1 species
CUAGCUACAGGCUUAACACAUGCAAGUCGAGGGGCAGCAUUUUAGUUUGCUUGCAAACUGAAGAUGGCGACCGGCGCACGGGUGAGUAACACGUAUCCAACCUGCCGAUAACUCCGGGAUAGCCUUUCGAAAGAAAGAUUAAUACCGGAUAGCAUACGAAUAUCGCAUGAUAUUUUUAUUAAAGAAUUUCGGUUAUCGAUGGGGAUGCGUUCCAUUAGUUUGUUGGCGGGGUAACGGCCCACCAAGACUACGAUGGAUAGGGGUUCUGAGAGGAAGGUCCCCCACAUUGGAACUGAGACACGGUCCAAACUCCUACGGGAGGCAGCAGUGAGGAAUAUUGGUCGAUGGGCGAGAGCCUGAACCAGCCAAGUAGCGUGAAGGAUGAAGGCUCUAUGGGUCGUAAACUUCUUUUAUAUGGGAAUAAAGUUUUCCACGUGUGGAAUUUUGUAUGUACCAUAUGAAUAAGGAUCGGCUAACUCCGUGCCAGCAGCCGCGGUAAUACGGAGGAUCCGAGCGUUAUCCGGAUUUAUUGGGUUUAAAGGGAGCGUAGGUGGAUUGUUAAGUCAGUUGUGAAAGUUUGCGGCUCAACCGUAAAAUUGCAGUUGAAACUGGCAGUCUUGAGUACAGUAGAGGUGGGCGGAAUUCGUGGUGUAGCGGUGAAAUGCUUAGAUAUCACGAAGAACUCCGAUUGCGAAGACAGCUCACUAGACUGUCACUGACACUGAUGCUCGAAAGUGUGGGUAUCAAACAGGAUUAGAUACCCUGGUAGUCCACACAGUAAACGAUGAAUACUCGCUGUUUGCGAUAUACAGUAAGCGGCCAAGCGAAAGCAUUAAGUAUUCCACCUGGGGAGUACGCCGGCAACGGUGAAACUCAAAGGAAUUGACGGGGGCCCGCACAAGCGGAGGAACAUGUGGUUUAAUUCGAUGAUACGCGAGGAACCUUACCCGGGCUUAAAUUGCAACAGAAUAUAUUGGAAACAGUAUAGCCGUAAGGCUGUUGUGAAGGUGCUGCAUGGUUGUCGUCAGCUCGUGCCGUGAGGUGUCGGCUUAAGUGCCAUAACGAGCGCAACCCUUAUCUUUAGUUACUAACAGGUUAUGCUGAGGACUCUAGAGAGACUGCCGUCGUAAGAUGUGAGGAAGGUGGGGAUGACGUCAAAUCAGCACGGCCCUUACGUCCGGGGCUACACACGUGUUACAAUGGGGGGUACAGAAGGCGGCUACCUGGUGACAGGAUGCUAAUCCCAAAAACCUCUCUCAGUUCGGAUCGAAGUCUGCAACCCGACUUCGUGAAGCUGGAUUCGCUAGUAAUCGCGCAUCAGCCAUGGCGCGGUGAAUACGUUCCCGGGCCUUGUACACACCGCCCGUCAAGCCAUGAAAGCCGGGGGUACCUGAAGUACGUAACCGCAAGGAGCGUCCUAGGGUAAAACUGGUAAUUGGGGCUAAG